CGACAGGUGCUGCAUGGCUGUCGUCAGCUCGUGUCGUGAGAUGUGGGUUAAGUCCCGCAACGAGCGCAACCCUUGCCUUUAGUUGCCAGCAGUUCGGCUGGGCACUCUAAAGGGACUGCCGGUGGUUAAACCGGAGGAAGGUGGGGAUGACGUCAAGUCCUCAUGGCCUUUAUGACCAGGGCUACACACGUACUACAAUGGCCGAUACAAAGGGCAGCGACACUGCGAGGUGAAGCCAAUCCCGUAAAAUCGGUCUCAGUCCGGAUUGGAGUCUGCAACUCGACUCCAUGAAGUUGGAAUCGCUAGUAAUCGUGGAUCAGCAUGCCACGGUGAAUACGUUCCCGGGCCUU
rnacentral:rRNA from 1 species